AUUGAACGCUGGCGGCAUGCCUUACACAUGCAAGUCGAACGGCAGCACGGGUGCUUGCACCUGGUGGCGAGUGGCGAACGGGUGAGUAAUACAUCGGAACAUGUCCUAUAGUGGGGGAUAGCCCGGCGAAAGCCGGAUUAAUACCGCAUACGAUCCACGGAUGAAAGCGGGGGACCUUCGGGCCUCGCGCUAUAGGGUUGGCCGAUGGCUGAUUAGCUAGUUGGUGGGGUAAAGGCCUACCAAGGCGACGAUCAGUAGCUGGUCUGAGAGGACGACCAGCCACACUGGGACUGAGACACGGCCCAGACUCCUACGGGAGGCAGCAGUGGGGAAUUUUGGACAAUGGGCGAAAGCCUGAUCCAGCAAUGCCGCGUGUGUGAAGAAGGCCUUCGGGUUGUAAAGCACUUUUGUCCGGAAAGAAAUCCUUGACUCUAAUACAGUCGGGGGAUGACGGUACCGGAAGAAUAAGCACCGGCUAACUACGUG
rnacentral:rRNA from 1 species